CCUACGGGGGGCAGCAGUGGGGAAUAUUGCACAAUGGGCGCAAGCCUGAUGCAGCAACGCCGCGUGAAGGAUGAAGGCCUUCGGGUUGUAAACUUCUGUCCUAGGGGAAGAAACAAAUGACAUUACCCUUGGAGGAAGCCCCGGCUAACUACGUGCCAGCAGCCGCGGUAAUACGUAGGGGGCGAGCGUUAUCCGGAAUUAUUGGGCGUAAAGAGUGCGUAGGUGGCACCUUAAGCGCAGGGUUUAAGGCAAUGGCUCAACCAUUGUUCGCCUUGCGAACUGGGGUGCUUGAGUGCAGGAGGGGAAAGUGGAAUUCCUAGUGUAGCGGUGAAAUGCGUAGAUAUUAGGAGGAACACCAGUGGCGAAGGCGACUUUCUGGACUGUUACUGACACUGAGGCACGAAAGCGUGGGGAGCAAACAGGAUUAGAUACCCGGGUAGUC
rnacentral:rRNA from 1 species